rnacentral:lncRNA from 1 species
GUGGUUUUUUACACCGACUCGUUCAUCAUGAUAGCUGGAAUGUUUCUAUUCACACAGAUCACACUAGAUGCUGUUGUUUGCCUUCAGGCAGCUCCACACCCUCACUUCCAUGGAUGCACCCAGUUCACGGGCCGUCAGGCUCUGAAUGCAGACUGCCUUUGUUGUUCUUCAUCAUCACGAUCGUGUCACAUCAUCACCGUGAGAAGAGGACACCAAGACCUAGAGUGAGACUGACUGUCAGACAGACACAUAGUCACCCUCAGUCUGAUGUAGAAGGAGCUGAUGACACAGCUGCACAGGAACAUCAGAGCCAGCAGGCCAAUCAGAAUCCAGAAGAGCUGAGGAGAAUGAGGAGCCUGGGGACAAGGAGAAGGUGACGGCUGCAGGAGGCAGGCUGCUUCCUGUUGACCUAAAUAAAAAAACCACGGUGAGAAAACUUCAUGUUUAAACUUUUCUGGUUCACAACACAAAUACAGCGUUGAUGUGUUUGACCCACAAACACAAGGUUCCACAUUUCAAAACGCCAACAACGAACAGAGAAGUAUUUGGAAAGUGAUUAUCUAAAACACAAGCAAAACAAAAAGGUAAUAAUUGUCAUUUUACUAUGUUUUUCAUUUCAUCAAGACCAAUAUAGAAUAUGAACGUGUUGCGUUUUCACAAUAUUUCUACAAAUACUACAACUCUACUCCCUACAAACGUUCUGAAAGGGGGUUGAACGUACCGGGCAGGAGUUGGGUUGGCGUUCCUUUCCUUUGGAUGUCUAAGUCACCUUCGUUCACCGUGACCUCACACUCGUACUUCACAGUCAUGGCCUCUGGCCCGAUGUUGAGCAGGACGAACAGCCAUUGUUGGGGACUCUCCUGGUACAUGGCCGUGUUCUCGCAGUUUUUCUUCCCCUUCUGGCAGAGCAUUCUAGGUUUAUCUGUUCUGAGGGUACACAAAGACGAGUCACACAGUUUGUCUCCCACCAUAGACCAAGUCUUCAAUCCGACUCGGACGAAUUAGAGAUAC